rnacentral:lncRNA from 1 species
AGAACAAAGACAAGGAAAAGGACAUGGAGAAUGCAUGAUAUGAGAUACUCUUGCUUUCAACAUUUAUGAUAUGAAAUACUCUUGCUUUGAAUGGGUUGUUCGCAGGAGUAUCCCAAGGAAUGAGGAACACAGAGUAACUUAGGAGGAUUCUUUGGGAAUGCAUUUUCGGAGAUGAAGAAGUGCUGAGAGAGAAGUGCUUUUGCUGUGGAAGGCGAAGGUGGAAACUUAUAGGACUUUUCUUCACAACCGGAACUGUUCUCUCACUUAUUGUCGGCAGCCGGUGGAUGGAUGAAUAGUACAAAUUACGCGCUUUCUGACAAAGCUGCCCGUAAUUUCCGCAAAGCUGCAAGUUGCAUGUGACGAGUGACGACACGUCUGGACAAAUUGAUCUUUUGAAAUCCGGGUUUCGGCUCGUGGUUUCUGAGCAAGCCCAUUUUUUGAGAAAUGAAACGCCUCUUUUGAGAAAAGAAUCCGGCUUUUGAGAAAGGAAACUCCUCUUUUGAGAAAAGAAUCAGGCGUUUGAGAAAGGAGCCCCGACUCUUCGAUUUGCGAGAGGACGCUUCUCUGAGGAGCGCCUCUCCGAUUUCUUCUUUUUAUAGAGGCGCUAAUUUUGUUCCACAACACACUUGAGCUCCCUCUUGUAAACACUCCCUCCUGUAAACUUCCAAAAUCUUAAUCAGUCCGACUCUCUUCUUUCUUCACCA